UUUCAUUUAAUCUUUAGGAAC
ensembl:piRNA 21ur-6087 ncRNA